UCCGCCCCUUCGGGGAGCGGGUUGCUGGCCUCCUAUGUUCCUAACGGUCCUCAUCCGCGAGGGUGGGGAAUCAACCGCUAGGAUCGUUUACUUUGAGGAAAUUAGAGUGUUCAAAGCAGGCGUAACUCGCCUCCGAAUACGUUAGCAUGGGAUAAUGGAAUACGACUUCGGUCUUGUUUCGUUGGUUUCGCUUGGCUGAAGUAAUGAUUGAUAGGGACAGUUGGGGGCAUUAGUAUUUAGUUGUCAGAGGUGAAAUUCUAGGAUUUACUAAAGACUGACCAAUGCGAAAGCAUUUGCCAAGGAUGUUUUCAUUAAUCAAGAACGAAAGUAGGGGGAUCGAAGACGAUCAGAUACCGUCGUAGUCUCUACCGUAAACUAUGCCGACCAGGGAUCCGGAGAGUUUGCAUGGAUGACUCCCCGGGCACCUUGUGAGAAAUCAUAAGUGUUUGGGUUUUGGGGGGAGUAUGGUCGCAAGGCUGAAACUUAAAGGAAUUGACGGAAGGGCACCACCAGGAGUGGAACCUGCGGCUUAAUUUGACUCAACACGGGGAAACUUACGAGGUCAGGACACUGUGAGGAUUGACAGAUUGAAAGCUCUUUCUUGAUUCAGUGGGUGGUGGUGCAUGGCCGUUCUUAGUUGGUGGAGUGAUUUGUCUGGUUAAUUCCGUUA
rnacentral:rRNA from 1 species